CUUAUUAAAAAUUAGUAAAAUUAAUUAUUAUAAUCAAUAUUUUACCACAAACAAAUCGCACAUAAAAAAUAUAUGGAAAGGAAUUAAACAAAUAAUAACUCUCAAAACAAAAAACAGAGGUUUACCCUCAAAGAUACUUAUUAAUGGUGAUGAAAUAACUGAUAGUAAAUCAAUUGCUGACAGGUUUAAUGAUUUUUUUGCUAAUAUUGGAAAUGCAUUAACUAGAAAUGUCCCCUGUAUUGAUACAAGUCCAGUGUCAUUUAUGACUUCUCGCCAAGUAAAUAGUCUGUUCUUGAAUCCAACUUCCUCUAACGAAAUUGAAGAAAUAAUUGUCCAGUUUAAUUCCUCAAAAGCUACGGGCCCGUAUAGCAUACCAGUUAAAAUUCUGAAAUUGCUAAGGAGAUUUAUUUCAAAGCCUUUGGAAUCUAUUUUUAAUUGUUGUCUUUCAACUGGUACUGUACCUAGCCAAUUCAAACUGGCUAGUGUCAUUCCUGUACAUAAAAAAGGCUCACAAUUAAUCUUAGACAAUUAUCGCCCUAUAUCUUUAUUAUCUAUUUUUAACCAGAUUCUUGAAGAAAUUGUGUCUAAACG